rnacentral:misc_RNA from 1 species
UUUUUACCCAUUACCAGCUCAGCAUUUCACUUUACCACACCCCCACCCCACUAGGGUUUGGUGAAAUUGAAUCACUCGCGGAAGUUGACUCAGUGAGUUAUAACGACUCAGUGACUACUGCUUGUUGGCCAGCCGCCAGGCUGAGGUUGCAAUCAGCGGCCGUGUAUGCCAUCCCAGCAUCAAACACCCAUUAUUCUCUUCCACUCUAUACCCAUCUCCGCCAGCAAAUAGGGCCAGUAGCAUGCUUGCUUGUUUGAACGCGUUCGAGCCGAGGUGAACCGGCACAAACCCGGAAGAGCCCAGACGAGUUCGCCACUGAGCCAGUGUUUCGUGUCUUUCAAUUCGGUCUGUCCCUUCACAUGCCACGACAUUGCAAAUCUGCUUCCCUAAAUACACCUCUGACAUCACCUUAUCUUGGGUACUGACCGAUCCCUCCAACGAGUCGAACAGAGUCGAGUAAUAAUGCAAUGACUCAGUGAACCGGUCCAGGAAAAUUGGCCCAUUAUGGUUCGCUUCUUGCUCAACAAUAGUAACAAUCUCCGGUUUCAUCUGCUUCACCACCGAAAGGACCUUUUCAAUGGC